rnacentral:Y_RNA from 1 species
GGUUGGUCUGAUGGCAAUGGGUUAUCAGAACUUAUUAACAUUAGUGUCACUAAAGUUGGUAUACAACCCCCCCACUGCUAAAUUUGACUGGCUUUUA